CUCUAUAUAUAUCAGAUGAGUGCUGAGUGGUGCUCAGUGUAGACCACGCACAGCUCAGGACCAGUCGCUCCAAGACAGCAGCUCACCUCCCAGCAAGAUGAAGAGCCUCACCCUCACUCUCUGUGCCCUUGUGCUGGCAGCUUUGGUCAGUACAACAGUAGCAGAAAAUACAACAAGCAUCCUACCCACCGGCACAUCCAAUUCCACUGCUGCCUCCGAUUCCACCACCACCGCUGCCAGUCCAGCCAUGACCGCUUCCCUCAGCCUCUUCCUGGGAUCCCUGGUGUCCAUCUUCAUCUUCACCCUCCUCCACUGAGCACCAGUCCAGAAUACCAGCAGGGGCUCGGAGAGACUGUGUGUGCGCCGCAGGGAACAAAUGAAGAGCUUCUGUUGUUUCAGUUGUAAAUUUGCUUGAAUUUAGCCUGGAAAUACAGCUGUUGCAUUAUAGCACAGUUCUAUGACAGCAUUCAACCACAUGGUAAAUGUUUUUUCAAAUAAUUAAAUAUGCAAUGUCAAUGUAAAUGUACUUUAAUAGCUGUCUCUUUCAACACAGGACAUGAAUUAAAUCCAAUUACCACAUUUUAAAAUGAAAUAGAAAACUAAAGCAACAGGAAAAAAAGCUGUCAAAAGCAAGUCAUUUACUCUGUACAGGAGAUUUUAAGUUAAAAGAUGCCAGUUUUUUUUAAGCAUAUAAAACUAAUCCAAAUACGAUAAUGCAAUAUAUCUUUGACUAACAUUCUAAGUAAUUUGGGAGAACUGUAUUCUUGAUCUAAAAUAACACAAGUUUUUUAAAUUUUACCUAAUUAAAAAAAAUUAUAGAAUAUCUUAAAGGUAAAUAUUUGUUGCAUAUAUAUAUUAUAUAUAUAUAUAUAUAUAUAUAUAUAUAUAUAUAUAUAUAUAUAUAUAUAUAUAUAUAUAUAUAUAUAUGCAGUAUUUAUAGUAUGUGUAAAUGCAAAAAUGUGUAGUAAUCAAAAAAAUGCAUGUGUUAAACCAACAUAAUUUCAUCAAGUAGAUUUCGUAUUGCAUUGUGUUACUCAAUAGCUGUUGUCUGUUGAUGUUGAGAUCAUUAAAACUGCAUUAUUUUUUAUACUGCAAACGUUGAUUAUGCUUAUUAAAAAGCAUAUACUUAAUAAUAAAAAUAUAUAUAUAUUAUUGUCA